rnacentral:ncRNA from 2 species
AAGGAAGGAGGUGCGAAUCCUCCGCGAGCCCGUCACUGUGUUCGGAAAUGGGCCGGCGAAUGCCACUGGAGUCCCGCAGGGGGCGAUUCCGGGAAGGCGCCGGUCAUGAAAUCCGUAAGUCAGGAUAUUU